rnacentral:rRNA from 1 species
CAGCCGCCGCGGUAAUACGUAGGUGGCAAGCGUUGUCCGGAUUUACUGGGCGUAAAGGGUGCGUAGGCGGAUUGUUAAGUCAGGGGUGAAAUCCCGAGGCUCAACCUCGGAACUGCCUUUGAUACUGGCGAUCUUGAGUCCGGGAGAGGUGAGUGGAACUGCGAGUGUAGAGGUGAAAUUCGUAGAUAUUCGCAAGAACACCGGUGGCGAAGACGGCUCACUGGCCCGGAACUGACGCUGAGGCGCGAAAGCGUGGGGAGCAAACAGGAUUAGAUACCCCAGUAGUCCCUGUCUCUUAUAC